rnacentral:hammerhead_ribozyme from 1 species
AUCCGGCUGACAAGUCUCAAUGAGGACGAAACGCGCGUCAGACUGGAU